UAAAUAUGUUUUAUUCAAUUGAAAUCCCAUCUUGAUUUUAAAAAAUCAGACUAAUAACAAGCUCAAAUCAUGUUCUCGGGGAUCAAAAUGAUUGGGGGCCCCUUUUGUCUCAGCAGAAUACCGUGGACGCAAGCAUAUAAUUAACUAUAAUGUGCCCUUUUAAGUUGCAACAGAAGAGUUAAAAACUGAAAAUCCACUUUAGACAAUCACGUUCGUCAAGACCUUGAAGAUGCAACGACCGCAGUUACUCUCAAAAUAGCCAUGGCUGAAAUAUCACAAUAGAACCAGUGUACUAAGUUCCCAUUCAAGAUAAAGAGCUUCCAGUCAUGUCCGCAAAUAAAUCUAUUUGAUUGAACCCAUGACAUAUCCUCACAUAUAAACAGUGCCUCAAGCAUCAAUGCCUAAUUCGUACAUAAUUGUGUAUAUAUUAAGCUAAUCGACAAUGUUCCCUAACACCACAAGCCCAUUGGUACAAUAAAACACAGGGAAAGAAGUUCCAAGUUUUUGUAUAUGCUUAUGAAGUGUUGGUAUCUGCAAUUGUUGAAGAAUAGCCUUGUAAUAACAUUUACUUUGUGCUCUUCCACCAGUACUUCCUAUCUACAUUUGCAUUGGCAAUUUCUUCCAGUUGAAAGUGUCUUGUUUUGACACGUACAUGUUAAGAGCACACUAGCAAAUGAAAUGCUGAGCUAAAAGAGAACAUGGUAAGCUACUAUGACCAAUAACACAACAGAACAUGCCAUCGCAGCAAUGGCAGCAGCAGCGAGGCCAGCUCGCUCCCUAGGAUCUUUUCUGUAAUAAUUUCCAAAGUAAAGAAUUGUGGCAUAGUACCACAUCAAUGGGAACACAAAUCCUAAAAGAAAGGAAAACCAUCCUAUACCACAGCCAAAGCAUGGAAGGGGUUUGUCAUAGAUCCCAACUUGGAAGUCCUCAGGAUCCCUAAGAAGAGUAUACUUUCCCUUUUCACGGUCUGCAGCAUCUGGGGCUUGCCCUCUAGCCGCUGAAUGGUAUCGAGCAGAUGGCCUAAGAAGAUCAAUAUGCUUAUCAGAGGCAGAUUUCACCAUCUCAAGGCCAUUCCGUAUAUCCUCUUUCCCCUCAAUUGCAACACUUUGAUCCAUUAGUGCUAGGGCAGCCUGUUCAGCAGGUUGUACUCCUGAACUCUUUAUUGAACUCCAAAAAUACCUGAGUCAAAAAUUAAAGAAACUCUUAAUAUUAAAUUAUAUACCAAUUAUGUCAAUGAUAGUUUCUUUUAACUCGAUGCAAUGCUCAAUGGCAAAAAACUAAUAAAAGAAAGUAGCAGUAUAACCAUUGGUGAUUUGAUUAGAUCAAGGCUUAAAAUGUCAACAAAAUUACAAUGGGACAAGGAAAUUUAAAUACAUACUCAACUCAACUUUUAUCCCAAUAAUUUGGGGUCGG
rnacentral:misc_RNA from 1 species